UGGGGAAUUUUGGACAAUGGGCGAAAGCCUGAUCCAGCAAUGCCGCGUGUGUGAAGAAGGCCUUCGGGUUGUAAAGCACUUUUGUCCGGAAAGAAAUCCUUGGCUCUAAUACAGUCGGGGGAUGACGGUACCGGAAGAAUAAGCACCGGCUAACUACGUGCCAGCAGCCGCGGUAAUACGUAGGGUGCAAGCGUUAAUCGGAAUUACUGGGCGUAAAGCGUGCGCAGGCGGUUUGCUAAGACCGAUGUGAAAUCCCCGGGCUCAACCUGGGAACUGCAUUGGUGACUGGCAGGCUAGAGUAUGGCAGAGGGGGGUAGAAUUCCACGUGUAGCAAUGAAAUGCGUAGAGAUGUGGAGGAAUACCGAUGGCGAAGGCAGCCCCCUGGGCCAAUACUGACGCUCAUGCACGAAAGCGUGGGGAGCAAACAGGAUUAGAUACCCUGGUAGUCCACGCCCUAAACGAUGUCAACUAGUUGUUGGGGAUUCAUUUCCUUAGUAACGUAGCUAACGCGUGAAGUUGACCGCCUGGGGAGUACGGUCGCAAGAUUAAAACUCAAAUGAAUUGACGGGGUCAUAGCUG
rnacentral:rRNA from 1 species